UUCGAACUCGCAACCGUCGCCAACUGAUCCACCGGGACCUGGAGGCGCAAACAGAUUGAAUCAAGGGUUGUAAGGUCAAGAGGCCUUUGGGAUUCAGUCCGAUAUCGAUUGGAGGAUCUAUGUCGGGUGUCAGUAUGCUUGUCUCGACGAUGAAGUCACCACUUGUCCACACGUCUGGACUGGUCCCGAAACGAGCGAAACACCUGCAUGACGUCAGCAAUUUCGUGGUGUCAAGGGCGAAUACUUUGGAAGGCCAUCUUCGGGGCGUUUCCCCGUGAGUGGCAGACGAGCAUCAGUAAGUUCCUGGCUGUCACUGCUAGUUCGACCUCAACGUCCACCAUCUCCUGGAAAUUCUGAGUUACGGAAUUCAUGAAAAUCGACUCACUUUUCGAGAGAAAAAUUCACGGUUGUACAUAACCUUGCAAAGCGCAUCGUGCCGUCCUCGUACGAUUGGAAUAGCAAAGUGAAACAUAUCGACUAUAUAUGAGUGCCAAAUUAAUAAUAUGUCCGUGCAUACAAUCCUCCCUUUUUUAUUACUUGCUGGGGGACGGGGGUAAUGUCAACGUGGUAGUGCCGUUGUUGGCCACACGCGACUAGAGGGGAUGAAGUGUGAACGGUUGGAGGUGAGGUACGGGAUGAAUGAACCCGAUGUGCACUGUGGAUGGGAGGCAUGUUAGAAGGGUCUUUGUUUUGCGCAUAUCUGGAAGACCAGCAGCAUGGCCACGAUAAACCACAAUAAAAUAAAACCACGCUUAUCACUGAUAACGCACUGUUCGA